AUCGUAGUGGCCAAAUCCUGGGUCCAGUAAAUUUUGACACGGGCCCUUCACGUCCGGCACCGGUAGUUUCUCAUCCGGUGCACGGGGGAACGGCGAUCUGCCUCCCGAACGGAUUGGGAAGGGUGGUCAGUGAGUGCAUAUGAAGCACUCUGAAGUUAUGUAAAUGUUCAGUGUUGUGGUCUCACCUGAAAACGGAAUGGCAGUUGGAUAUAAACACCGUCACGGGUUGAUGGUCCAUCUCCCUUUGGCAAUGGAGGCAUGGCGAGGAGGUGCCCCAAUCAGACGGCCAGAAGGGACCAUUGUGAUUCUGUAGCAGUCUGAUCUCCUGCAUAACACAGGCCAAAGAACUUCCUAGAAUCAUCCCUAGAAGAGAUCCUUUCGAAAAACAUCCACCUUGAUCUAAAAAUGGAUCUGGGGCAGCUGAGGGAGCCUCUCUAUUGUUGGUUCAUGAGUGGCUGGGAGAAGCAUUCAUGUAACUCAGUUGGGUGUGUCCCUGUCUGUGGAUGUCUAUAGCAGGCGCUCUGUAGCUGCUGCAUACGAACUUCUCCCUCCAAAAACUCUCAAGUCCCUGGUGUCAUGGAUCACAAAGACCAACUCCAUGCCUAGGGAGGCGAGUGGAGAGAACCCUGAAGGACACAUGAAGCCAGAGCCUCUGCUGGUGUGAUUUGGCACAUCCUCACGUGAGUCAAUGGAGUUACACUGAUUUACAUUAGCUGAAGAGCUGGCUCUGUGAUCUUCAGGGAA